rnacentral:rRNA from 1 species
CUUGACGAUCAUAGAGGCGUUGAACCACCUGAUCCCACCUCGAACUCAGCAGAGACUCUUUAUUCGCCGCAGGCGCUAGCCAUCGCCGAGG